AAACAAAAUGAUACCAAUUGUUACAGCAAAUGUGGGAUCGACAUGAAUGAAAGGCAGAACAGAAGCUCUUGAACUUUGCCACAGUAUUGCUCUUCCCUUUUUUGUUGUUCGCUCAAAGUGCUGGCUAGAAUGGGUUCUAACAACAAACAGACUGACAAGAAACUAGCAGUCAACACAGCAUCAAGAGUCACAUUUUGCCAAAGAAACAAGUCUGAGAAUGGGAGCUUCGUCUCUAAUUUGAGAAACCAUUUUCAUGAAUUUAUAAAUGCUUCUGCGGACGAACACAAGACAUGCUUGAGAAACACAAUUAGAAAGAUAGCUAAUGCAUCAAAGAUUUUUGGGAAAAGCGGUGACAGCACAAACGAAAACUCUGUACCCCUUCAGUCAUCUAGAAGGAACUAGAAGGCUUUCGUGAAUCAUCAUCAGUACAUCAGUGGAGGGUUACCUUAAAAGGGUUUAUAGUAUAUCCCAAGACCUCAGAUUUUCGACGCAGGAUAUUUCUUUAC